UACGUAGGGUGCGAGCGUUAAUCGGAAUUACUGGGCGUAAAGCGUGCGCAGGCGGCGCGUUAAGACAGGUGUGAAAGCCCCGAGCUUAACUUGGGAAUUGCGCUUGUGACUGGCGUGCUGAGUGUGGCAGAGGGAGGUGGAAUUCCACGUGUAGCAGUGAAAUGCGUAGAGAUGUGGAGGAACACCGAUGGCGAAGGCAGCCUCCUGGGCCAGCACGUGACGCUCAUGCACGAAAGCGUGGGGAGCAAACAGG
rnacentral:rRNA from 1 species